GGAAAUCUCAAGCUGUAUGGAGCAGCAAACACCUCAGUUCUUGUUGUUCUAAUAUCACUUGUAAUUGAAACAAUGAUGGAUUUCUCUGGACUUUCAACCCACACGUCGGGUCGCUCUUUUGAAUUAUUUGUUACUUGAUAAAAGGUUGGUGGUGCCUGCUUCGGGUACUCAUACUUCCUGAAAUAAGGUUUUAAUCGAGUUACUAUGGUAUUGCGUUCCUCA
rnacentral:misc_RNA from 1 species